GCUGUCCCACCUUGUAAUCACAGAUAAAUCAUCUUUGCAAUCCAUUACAUUUUACAGGUUGGAAGAGUAAGGAAAGUGUUCCUCGGCUGAUUGCUGAAUACAUGGAAAAUAAAUUUAAUUUGGAUGGGUUGGUGAGCUACACAUUACCAUUUGAUGAGAUUAAUCAAGGAUUUAAUCUUCUUCGUUCUGGGAUGAGGUUGGUAAUAAGGAGCACUAAAUCCAUAGUAUUAAUUCUAUUAUUUGUAAAUAAUAGUAACACAAAGAAUAGACAGCAUUUUCACUUCAUAUGAUUGGUAUAACUCAUUUUUUAUUGUGCACAUAAUAUCACAUUCUUUCAGCUCAUGAGAAGUUGUUUUUUUUUUCUUCUUCUUAUGAUCAAGUGUAAACAGAUCUAUAAACAGGUGCCUUUUUAUAGGAAAUUAGGGGUAGACAAUGAUUUGAAAAAUACAGUUAUUUCAGGGUAUUCAGAACCAAAUUUUUCCAGAGUCUAUAAAAUAUGUUGGAGUUUGGAGCCUGCAUCAAAAGCCUUACUUCAGUCUAAACUAAUUAAUGCCUUCUGAACGGAUUGCCUGGAAUCAUCCAGUUCUAACGAUUCUUCCAUAAUUGUGGUCCUUUUAUUAACUUCUUAGAUAAAGAACUUAAGGAAUAAAUUCAGAGACCUUUUCCAUAUCGAAUACAAAGAGUGUUACUUAGAUACACUCCUACCAAUGCUACUUACUGAACAUACUUUUGCUGCUUAAGAGUACAAUCACCUUAAAUUGGAAAUUCACUUUGAAUUCUCAUUUUAGUGAAUAAACCUGUCUGUGUGGUGUGGAGCACUUUUACUAUGCAUAUUACACUAUGAAAUGUGUAUCCUUUUGUUUCCACUGUAGAUCUGUCCUUUAAUUGUCCAUAUUAGGAGAGGUGUGUUGUGUGCACUUUACUGAGUGUGACAAAUGAUAUAUCGAGUGGGAAGAUACAUAUCUCUCCCCUCACAUUCAUUGUGGCAGUCAUACUGGAGGCAAUGGAAGAAAUGUUUAACCUCAUAUAUUAAUAACAACACAGUAUUUAACAAGGAACAGUACAUUCAGACUACUCUGGUUUCCAAGUAUGUCCUGGGGAUGUUCCUUUUGCCCAACAUCAAGGGGAUGUUACUAAAUAUCUUUUAAUCUAUGUAUAACAGAUUUAUUUAAUCAAUCAUUCUUAGCAGGAGAUUGGAAGUUAGCAAAUGUUGUACCCAUUCACAAGAAAAGUAGUAGGCAGGAGUCGCGCAACUAUAGGCCAGUAAGCCUUACUUCAGUAGUGGCGAAAGUAAUGGAAACCAUGUUAAAGGAUAGGAUUGUUGAACAUCUAAAAUCACAUGGAUUUCAAGAUCAGAGACAACAUGGGUUUACUUCAGAGAGAUCAUUCCAAUCUAAUCUUAUUGAUUUUUUUUUGAUUGGGUAACUAAAAUAAUAGAUCAGGGUGGUGUAAUAAACAUUGCUUACCUAGAUUUCAGUAAGACUUUUGACACUGUUGCAUAUAGAAGACUUCUCAAUAAACUGCAAUCUUUAAGUUUGGAUUCCAAUAUUGUUGAAUGGGUAAGGCAGUGGCCUAGUGACAGGCAACAGAGGGUUGUAGUCAAUGGAGUAUAUUCAAAGCACGGUCUUGUCACUAGUGGGGUACUUCAGGAAUCUGUACUUGGAUCUAUUCACUUUAAUAUUUUUAUUAGUGAUAUUGCAGAAGGUCUUAACGGUAAGGUAUAUAUUUUUGCUGAUGAUAUUAAGAUAUGCAACAGGGUUGAUAUUCCAGGAGGGAUAAGCCAAAUGGCAAAUGAUUUAGGUAAACUAAAAAAAUGGUCUGAGAUGUGGCAACAUACAUUUAAUGUGGAUAAGUGCAAGAUAAUGCAUCUUGGAUGUAAAAACCCAAGGGCAGAGUACAGAAUAUUUGAUAGAGCCCUAACCUCAACAUCUGAGGAAAGGGAUUAAGUGGUAAGUAUUGCAGGUGACUUAAAGGUAGGCAGACAAUUUAAUAGAGCUGCAGGAAAUGCUAACAGAAUGCUUGGUUGUAUAGGGAGAGGUAUUAGCAGUAGAAAGAGGGAAGUGCUCAUGCCAUUGUACAGAACACUGGUGAGACCUCUCUUGGAGUAUUGUACGCAGUACUGGAGACUGUAUGUCUAAAGGAUAUUGAUACUUAAUGGACCACUAUAGGCACCCAGACCACUUCAGCUCAAUGAAGUGGUCUGGUUGCCAGGUCCCUCUAGUUUUAACCCUGCAGCUGAAAACAUAGCAAUUUCAGAGAACCCUAUGUUUACACUGAGGGUUAAUCCAGCCUCUAGUGGCUGUCUCCCUGACAGCCACUAUAGGCCACUUCAGUGAUUCUCACUGUGAAAAUCACAGUGAGAAGACGCUGAUGUCCAUAGGAAAGCAUUGAGUAAUGCUUUUCUAUGGGCGGUUUGAAUGUGCACGCGGCUCUUGUCGCGCAAUGCGCAUUCGACGCUGACGUCGGCAGGAGGAGGAGAGUUCCCCAGCGCUGAGGGAGUCCGGCACUUGAAAUAGGUAAGUGGCUGAAAGGGUUCCCAGUGGGAGGGGGCCAUGAGGGUGGGGGGGACCUAAGGACCACAUAGUGCCAGGAAAACAAGUUUGUUUUUCUGGCACUAUAGUGGUCCUUUAAGAGAGAGUUCAGAGAAGGGCAACUAAACUGGUUCAUGGAUUGCAGGAUAAAACUUACAAGGAAUGGUUAAAGGAUUUCAUCAUGUAUAGCUUGGAGGAAAGACGGGGGUGUGGGUAUGAUAGAAACAUUUAAAUACAUAUAGGGAAUCAACAUAGUAAAGGAGGAGACUAUAUUUAAAAGAAGAAAAACUACCACAACAAGAGGCAUAGUCUUUAAUUAGAGGGGCAAAGGUUUAAACAUAAUAUCAGGAAAUAUUACUGUACUGAGAGGGUAGUGGAUGCAUUAAAUAAGCUUUCAGCAUGGAAUAACCUUUCAGUGAAGGAGUUUAAGCAUGAGUGGGAUAGGCAUAAGGCUAUCCUAGCUAUAAGAUAAGGCCAGGGACUAAUGAAAGUAUUUAGAAAAUUGGGCAGACUAGAUGGGCCGAAUGGUUCUUAUCUGCCGUCACAUUCUAUGUUUCUAUGUUUCUAUGCUACCAGCAUACUAGAAACAUUAAAUUCUUGUAUCAUCCCAAAGAUGAUCUUGUCACAUACAAGCUUUAUAAAUAGAUCCAGUUUUUCUACCAUUGUUUAUUGGUGUAAAUAUUUCAGAUGUUCUGAUUCACAUUCAUAUUGAGCAUUUUAUUAAAGGCAAUCUUUCAUUUACCAGGAUUUUUAAAAUUAUGUUUACUAAUCCACUAUGGUUAAAGGAACACUCCAGACCCCAUAAAAACCUAAUUCAUUGCUAGCUAUGCAUUCUAUGGUCAGUGAUGAGCAUUAGUAGCAGAGACAGAGUUGGAGGAAGAGACAAAGGGGCUGAGCAGACAGGGGCCAGGAAGACAACUUAAAGAUGAAAACAUUUUUUUAAACCGCUGAGGCCUCCAGGCUUAUUAGUGACUUCAUUAAGAGAAAGUUGUUGUUGUAACUGUAGUGUUCCUUUAACAAAUAUGUAUUUAUGACUUAUAAUAAAUGUAUAAAUAAAGACCUUUUUUAUCCUGCUACUCAACUGGGCACCUCCAUUUUAGCUCUGUCAAUCAUUAUUAUACGCUCUGUCCUUUGCACUAGGCAUUCAGCAUGUAAAAAGCAUACAGAGAAGAGAUUUUUUUUAAAGUUAUGGACACACUGAUUUACACACGGUUAUAUACACUGAGUAGUCUUGUAUGUGCCUGUGAAUGCAUAUGUUUGUGUCUGGGAGCAUAUGUGAGUGGGGAGCUGCUUGUGGUGUGUUCAUUUUUUUUUUUUUUUCAAGGCUGUGCUGUGUAUGAGGUCGUGACUUUGUGUGUGUGAGGGUAAUUGUAGUUUGCUGUCUACUGUAGAACAACUAAUUUACAUUUCCCAUAAACGUAGGUCAUUACAUAGACAGUAGUAGUUGUAGUAGUUAAAAAAAAGUUACCUGUGCACUAGCCCAAAUCCAUAUGCCUAUUUAAAUAAAUGGAGGUUAUUUAGUAACUCCAAUGGCCAUUAGAUGUAAGCCCAGCUGCCACGUCAAGGCAAACAUCACUAACAAUUCACCUUGCUUCCUUGAGCUUCUGCAAAUAAAUCUCUAAUGAAACAGAGAGAGGUAUUUUCGAAAACGUAUUAACUCAGAAUAGGGAACACACAGGGUGGGCGGCAGCACUGUAACAUUACUGUGUGAUGCAAAAAGGAAAUACAAAUACACAAAAAUAAGUCCUGUGCUCAAGCUCCCACUACUCCUGGGCGGCAGCAACGAGCAUAGCACACAAAUACACAAAAGUACCCCUCUCUGUCUCAUUAGAGAUUUCUUUGCCUGAAGCUCAAGGAAGCAAGGUGAAUAAUUGUUAGUGUAGGACCCACCUAAGAGGUUUGCCUUGAUGUGGCAGGUGGAUUUACAACUAAUAGCUAUUGGAGUUACUAAAUAACCUUCAUUUAUUUAAAUAUGCACAGGGAUUUGGGCUAGUGCAAGGUAACUUUUUUUCUUUGUAUGUAUUGGUGAUGUUAUGUGCCUAUGGUCAUUGCUGCCACCCUGUAGUAGUGGGAGUUUGAGCACAGGAUUCAAUUUUGUGUAUUUCUAUGCAGGAGUUAUAACUAAAUUGUUUACUUGAAACCAACAAACAAAUGGCUAUUAUUAAAUAGACAUAAUAAAAAUUCAAGGGAUACUAUAAUUACCAAAACAACUUUAGCCUAAUGAAGCAGUGUUGGUGUUUAGAUCAUGCCUUUGUAGUCUCACUCCUAAAUUAUCUACUAUUUAGGAGUUAAAUCACUUUGUUUAUGCAGCCCUAGGCACACUUCCCAGCAUGUGGCUUACACAGCCUUCCUAUGCAAUUUCCUGUAAAGAGUCAUCUAAUGCUUACACUUCCUUUGUUGCAAAUUCUGUUUAAUUUAAAAUUUCUUAACUUCUGCUCUGUUAUUAACUUGCUAGACCAUGCAGGAGCCUCCUGUGUGUAAUUAACGUUCAAUUUACAGAGCAGAAAAUAAAAACCUUUAAAGUAAGUUACAUCUGUUUGAAAGUUGUGACUGAGUCAGUUGAGACUGUGUAAGUCACAGCCAGGAGAGAUAGGGCUACGGCUGCAUGUACAGAAACUAAAGCAAUUUAACUCCAAAAUGACAGGGAAUUUAGCAGGGAAACGUAAGAGGCAUAAUAUAUACACAAAAACUGCUUCAUUAAGCUAAAGUUGGUUUGGUGACUAGAGUCAAAUAAUUAUUAGUUAUUUUGGCAGCUUGUGACUGACUAAAUAUUCUGCAAACCCCAGAGUGGUGUACAGAGCAGUGGUUCCCAACUUUUCUGGCCCAAGGCACACUUCAAUGCAAGAAAAAUACAGUAUCUAAAGCACACCUAAUUUAUACUUUCAUUAGAAGAUUAUUAAUUUCCCCCAAAGCUUACUAUGGCAGAUUUAGAAUUAUGUGGCAAAGGAAAGUAAAACAUAAUCUGCUUGAUCAUGCUUGCUUCCAUACAUGGGUGUGGUGAAGGCUAUGAAGUAAAUACAUUUGUUGUCAUUAUUAUGCCUUGGGUCCUAAAUUAACUUUAAGGACACCGCUUCAAAAGCUUGUCUUGCAAGCAAUUUUUGCAAUUCCAUUUUUUAAAGGACAAAAAGAGCUUUAAUUUGAUGUGACAUAUCUAUAUAUAAACUCUCAAUUUCUUAUACACCUGGUUCCAAAUUAUUAUGCAAAUUAUAAUUGCAAAUUGCGGACAGCCACUAGAGGCGCAUCUGCCACGCUGGAUGCGAAUUUUGCAUCCAUCAUGCAGAGCGUCCAUAGGAAAGCAUUGAGAAAUCUGACGUCGGACGGGGGAGCUGACAUCGGACGGGGAGGAGAUGUCACCAGCACCGAGGGAGGCCGGCGCUGGAAUAAGGUAAACUGCUGAAGGGGUUUUAACUCUUCAGUGCCACGGGAGGGGAUCCUGAGGUUGGGGGCAGUAAAACCACUUUAUUUUCCUGACACUAUAGUGAUCCUUUAAAAGUCAUCAAAGAAAACAAAAUUGCCGCACAAAAGUAUAUAUGUAUAUAAAAUAGACAUCACAAGCUAUUUACUUAAGGUUAUUUUGACACUUUUUAGAUAGCCAUUUCACCGCCAAUCUCUGCUAAAUAUUCUAGUGAAAUUGUGUUUUCCAGUGUUUUGACAUACAAACUUAUAACAAGGAUCUUUUGAUGGGUAUUUCUUAAAGCUGAUGUGUGCUAUUCCUGAACAAAAUUUAGUGUUCACCUACAUCUGCUGAGUACAAGUUUAUUUGCUAGUUUGUACCAAGUCUAGUAAUAGUAACCAUAUUUUCUGCCUUUUUGACACACACACUUGGAGAUGUUGCUGUAUAUUUUGCAAUUCUUAUGUGUGCUACAGCAGUAUAACGCUUAAUAUGUUGUUCAGCUAUGUCGUCUUAGUACAGCAAAACCCCAUGUGUACCUCUUUCAAAUAUAUGUGGAUGUCGAAUUGGCAAAUUUGAGACAGACAUUUCAGUUUUUUUCAAAUUCAAUUUUGAUGCUGGUUCUACGGUGAAUAUGUAGCAUUUUAACAGGUUGUUAAAAUACUACCCCACCAAAGGCCUACCAUUCCUUAAAGAAGAUAUUAAUCACUGUCACCCUGCAUCAACCUGCAUCAAACUCUGAGGCACUGUCUGUCAACUCUCUUUUGCGGACAGAAUUCUGAAUCCGCCUCUGCACUGAAUUUCCUAAGCAUUUUAAACUUUUUACACAAGAACUUUAACUAAAUAAUGUUAUUAAUUAUUUUAUUUUUUCAAUUUCGUAACACUAAACUCUUCAAUUUCCCAUGAAUUAUUUGCAGCAUCCUCCCUUGGCUCUGAACGUUAUCAGCAAUUAACGGUAGCACAAGCAUGACGAAAAAAUUUUCGUCGGACAUCGUGAAACGGUUAAAAGAUUAGUCCAAACAUAUAAAGCACCUUACCUUGCUGAAAUUCUUUAUUUGCGACAAGAGUCUCAAGUGUGUUUCAUUUUUUAAAAAGUGCAGAUUUUAAAAGAAAUCAGAACUUUUAACAACAAAUAUUUUUAUAAAAACAUAGUACAGUAUACAAAUAUGAAGAAAAGUUCCACCAUUCCAAAAGUAACUCCCAUGAAGAUAUGACAUUGUAGAAAUUGACAGUUUUAUAAAUGAAUGCUGAUAUACCUCCCUGGCUGUCACCAUCUUCUAGUUUAGCUCUGUGGGGCUAAAUUCAAAUGCAGGUGCUUGUGCACAGAGUAUGUCUUCUUCUCAGUAAGCUUAAAUAUAGCUCAAAUCGCUAUGAUUAUUCCCUGGCACAGAUAAGAAAGUCUGUUAAGGGGAUGAAGGGGUGGGCAGGCAGUAGCUGCAGAUGCUAUACAGGGCCGGUGCAAGGAUUUUUAUUUAUUUUAUUGCAUCAAAAAGGGUCCAGGGAGAUCAACGUUUCAGUCCCUAACUGGGACUUUCAUCAGGAAACGUUGAUCUCCCUGGACCCUUUUUGAUGCAAUAAAAGAAAUUUAUUUAAAGAAGACCGUGAGUGCAGACUUAUUACAUACUUGGAAUAUACAUAAACAUAUAUAUGUGUAUAUAUACACAAAACUCAAUAUAUAUAUUUGUUUUUUUAUGGAUUGUUCCUUUAAAACCAUAGAUAUGCAUAUACGCAAAACACAUAUUAUGUCUUAUUUAUUUGCUUAUUUUAACCUAUUUUUUUUUUUUUUGUUCUAGCAUCCGAACUAUACUGAUGUUCUAAGAGCGAAAUUCCUGUAACGUGUAUUAUCAACAGAACAGACAGCUCACCAUGUGGAAGAUAUAAAUGGAUAAUUGUUCUAAUUUCUUUUUUAGAUACUUUUUUUCUUGAUUUGUAUAUUAAUACAAUAUUGCCAG